GGGGUAGUACUGGUUUCGACGGGGGUUUAGAAAUUAUGGCAGCCAUCCGAGGUGGGUGACCUCGUAAAAACAUCUAAAAAAAUAAACGCUGACAAUAGAUUAGCACUCGCUGCCUAAUGGCAGCUAUCAGCCUCGCGUCGUCCGUUGCGUGAGAGUCUGGUAUCGAACAGACGGAGCACUUCCUUGCCGAAGCUUGUAGGCUCGGGAAGAAUUACAAGCUACUGAAAUCAUAAGUCUGUGAGUGGACGUGUGGUAGAGGGAAUGUUAAAACACUUACUGUGAUGGGAGAUACUGUAAUGGAAGAGCUUUCGGACGCGGGUUCGAUUCCCGCCUGCUCCA
rnacentral:tmRNA from 1 species